rnacentral:rRNA from 1 species
AUGGAGGAUGUGGGUAUGGAGUUUCUUCUCGACGCCGUCGACAGCUCAGGGAAGACGGACCUGAGAAAGCACGAGAGAGUCUGCCGGCGUCGGAAAUCAUCACCGACUAGGUCGGCGCAGUCCACGUACAGAGUCAACCCCCCAGGCCCCAGGAUGGAUGAAAAGUACUUUUGUUGUUCUAAUUUGCUGACGGCCGAAGAAAUUGAAUCAGCUGAGGUAGUGGAUGUGGCCGAAGAAAUUGAACCACCGCGGUCUCCGUGGGCGGAUUUGACUGAACCUGCUGAUGGUUGGGAGCCGGAGCUAUCUAGCCUGCUUGGUUGCCCUGGUGCACAUGGUGCCCGCCGACUUGCUGCUGAGCACGGGCUAUCUGGUGAGGGCUCAUCCUCCUCAGUGGUACUCUUCAAGCAUGGAUGGCGCCGGCGUGAAGCAGCGUGUGGGCUGACUCGAGCGUUCCGGCGUCGGUGUCCAACUGCAGUUUGCCCUCUCGAGCCCGCGUCUGCUCCUGAUCGGGCAACUAAGAACUCAGCUGCGGGCUUGGACAGGACCGGCACGAUGUCAGCAUCAGAUGCUGGGAACUACAAUACGCAUGAUCGCGAUGAAGGAGAUGAACAUGACGAUGUUAUCGUGGAUAGUGCGAUCAAAGGCUGCUGCCUUGAGUCUGCAUCAGCUACAACUCUACUAUUCUUCGUCAACCUAGCUGCCGCUGGUUUGGACAGGGAGGAAGGAUUCGGGGAGCAUGACCCCGAUGCUCAGUCCGCGGGGGAGGAGUGGACAGUGGAUGUGUUGGAUGACCGCGGCGGAACAGGUCGGCCCAGAAAAGCAGCCGAUCCAUCAGGCCACUUCUGUACCGCAUCGUCCGUCCGGAAAAGUGUGACUGCUAGUGGACGCCAUGGAGCGGGGAUGGCACUGGCGGCUGCUCGAGUGCUCGGGGAGGGGGCGGCGAGUUGGGGGAGGAGUUGGGGAAGGGGACGACUGCUUGGGGAGGGGGCGGUGACCUGUAGCAGGAAGAAGAAUGGAUGCGAGCUCGGGGAGGGGGCCGCGAGCUCAUCUACCUUGCUGCUGGUGUUGGUCGACUGGAUCAAUCCUAGAGGAGUGGGGGAGGGGGUGGCGAGCUCGAGUAGAAGGAAGAGGUUGGGUGUCUGGAUCCUAGGGGAGUGGAGCCGUAGAGGCGCCUCUGGCGAACAGCGCCAGCAGCUGCUCCUCCCCUCCUCCAACGAGGGUAACUACAGGAGGGGAGGGACGCAAGCGUUGCCGCCACCAUCGUUGCCCCAAGGUAGCUGUGUCGACGAGGAGCAUUGGAUGUGGGCGGACGUCCACGGGAAGAGGGGAGCGGUUCCCGUACUCCUGCGGAGGAAGAUGGGCGGCGCGACGAGCGAUUGCCUCCAGUGGUGGCAGAUCCCCUCCAUGGCGUCCAUGAUGACGGCAGGCACCAUGGUGCCUAUCUGGCCAACACCAACCUUGCUUCCACCGGAUCCCCUGGGUCACUCAUCGAACCAGAACUCCAACAUUGCAUCCAUUUUCUUGUUCGCUCUGUCCAAUUAUUAUGAAGUACUAGAAGGCAUCCACCUUGGUUGCAACCCCUCAAUGUUCCACGCUGCUGUCACCGCGAGUCUUCAUCUUAGUUGCCGUCUGACAACACCAGGGAUCAUCAUCCGCAAAGAGGAGAAAGUCUGUCGCUGCAAAUACAGAAGGUGGGUUGUCAUAAACCGUAAUUCUUGGCACUUUUCAGGUCAGCCAUUUGAGGCUGGCACGAUACAUAAUGCUGUAAUAGAUCCGCCAUUUGUGGAGAAGGAGAGGCCUGCAUCGAAGCUUUCGGUUUCGGCACAUUGGACGGCGGCACUCCCCAGUACUGCACCUAACUUGGAUAUUGGGAUGAAUCCCUGGAGUACUUCUCCGUGUUCCUUAGGACAGGGAAAGGAUGAACAAGAGUUGAAGAGGGAGGGAAGGAAACAAUGCUAUGCAAAGUGCUACUUCUGUGGAUAUAUUAUGUAUAAUCUCUUCGGGAUUUCAUCGGGGUUGUGGCACUUCCUCCAUUGA